CUACCUUUUUUGACCUGAGAAGAUUGGAAAAGAAGGCUGGAAUUGCAGGAUGCGGAUUUGGCUUCAGUCUUUACCUUGAGGAUUGAAGCUUUAUAGGUUUAAGUGUCUGACAUGAAUGAGUGUUCUUGAAAUCAGCAGCAUCUGAGGGUCAUGGUUUAAAGCGUGACUCUAUCCCAGCUUCAGAAAUACAGGAGCAGGCACCAAAUAAUAAACAAAAAUAUGCUGUCAUCCUCAACCUCUUGUGGGAUGGAGGAGAAGUCUGACAACUUAACUUGGCUUUGCUAUCCCUCAUGGGCAAGCAUGCUUCCUUUCCUUCCUCUGAUGCAUUGCAAGCGUAAUGUGUCUUGUCCUGCUGCCAAUACCACCACAACAGAUUACAGUGCUUCUCUGAGCAGAGAUACUGUGUGGCAUCACAAGGAGUGGCAUCACUGGGAUGUGGUGGAGUGACAUAGAAAUGAGGAUGAACUGGGAGCAGAGUGGAAGAGUAGGAUCUUCUUAAACUAACUCUGGCAUCAUCCUGGUAAGCCCAGGCCUGGCAUUAAUAACUCAUAGCAUACAAACUAGAUGUGUUAUUUGUCAUUCAUUGCUUCAUCUGGUUUUCUAUUUUAUUGGUCCAUGUAGCUCAGAGUGAAAAAAAUGAGCAAUUUGUCUCUAAAUGCCAUUUACUAUACCAUGACUUAUGUCUUUGAGUUAGUUUUAACAGCUUGAUGGAGAAAGCGGUAGGAAAGCUUGAGUGAGAAAGGUAUAAAAACAGCAACACUAACAGAAGGGGAGGAACUGCUUCAGAAAAAUAAGGUACUGUGGAUGGCUGAAUCUCAAAAGGAGUCUAGACUUAUUGUCUAGCAGGAUAAAUAUGAGGAAAAACAACAUGUGAG
ensembl:lncRNA